AUUGAACGCUGGCGGCAGGCUUAACACAUGCAAGUCGAGCGGGGUGAUGGUGCUUGCACUAUCACUUAGCGGCGGACGGGUGAGUAAUGCUUAGGAAUCUGCCUAUUAGUGGGGGACAACAUCUCGAAAGGGAUGCUAAUACCGCAUACGUCCUACGGGAGAAAGCAGGGGAUCACUUGUGACCUUGCGCUAAUAGAUGAGCCUAAGUCGGAUUAGCUAGUUGGUGGGGUAAAGGCCUACCAAGGCGACGAUCUGUAGCGGGUCGGAGAGGAGGAUCCGCCAGACGGGGACUGAGACACGGCCCAGACUCCUACGGGAGGCAGCAGUGGGGAAUAUUGGACAAUGGGGGGAACCCUGAUCCAGCCAUGCAGCGUGUGUGAAGAAGGCCUUAUGGUUGUAAAGCACUUUAAGCGAGGAGGAGGCUACUUUAGUUAAUACCUAGAGAUAGUGGACGUUACUCGCAGAAUAAGCACCGGCUAACUCUGUGCCAGCCGCCGCGGUAA
rnacentral:rRNA from 1 species